UACAGAGGGUGCGAGCGUUAAUCGGAAUUACUGGGCGUAAAGCGUGCGUAGACGGUUAUUUAAGUCGGAUGUGAAAGCCCCGGGCUCAACCUGGGAGGUGCGCUCGAGACUGGUUUGCUGGAGUUCGGGAGAGGAGCGUGGAAUUCCCAGGUGUAGAGGUGAAAUUCGUAGAUAUUCGCAAGAACGACCAGUGGCGAAGGCGGCUCACUGGCCCGAUACUGAACGCUGAGGCACGAAAGCGUGGGGAGCAAACAGG
rnacentral:rRNA from 1 species